UAAAAAGUUAUUAAGGCAUUAAAUGGAUACUUAAGCAUUAAAACCAAAAUGGACGUUUUAUAACGAAAUAUUACAGGGAGUAGAUAUAAUAUGCUGAGAUCUGUAAUUCUCCAUAAAUUCGGAAAACCGAUUUCUUAAUGAUUAGAAAAGGUUUAAAUAUUUUUAAACACAAACUUGGUGAACUGAACCAUCUAAGUAACCAAAGUUUAAAUCAACCGAGAAGCUGUUAGUAGUGGCGAUCGAACGCAGUAAUAGAUUUAAGGAUUUAAAUUUUAUUUAAUAUUAGAAUAGCCAGAGAAGGUAACCUUUUAAAGGAUAGCCCUGUAAAGUAAAAUUUAAACCUUUAUUAAAGUAAAAUGAAACAAGUCAUGUUUUGUUUAAAUAUUGAGGGCCCACCCUCAAAAUCUAAAAGUUUUAAUGACUGAUAGUGAAAAGUACUGUAAAGGAAAAGUGAAAAAGACUUCGCGAAAGUGAAAAGAUUUUGAAAUUUAAUGCUGACAAUCUGUCAGAGCUUUUUGAAGUGAUGACGUACCUUUUGUAUAAUGGACCAACAAGUUUAUUCUAGUGGCGAGCUUAAAAUAAUAAAAUAUGUAGGCGUAAAGAAAUUAAGUUUUAAAUUGCUUGUUAGUCUCUAGAAUAAGACCCGAAACUAAGUGAUCUAACCAUGGACAGGUUGAAGAUUGGGCGGCAACGCCUAUUGGAGGACCGAACCCGUGUAUGUGGCAAAAUACUGGGAUGAUCUGUGGUUAGGAGUGAAAGGCUAAUCAAACUUAGAGAUAGCUGGUUUUCUGCGAAAUCUAUUUAAGUAGAGCGUUUAAAAGACUUUUAUAAAGGUAGAGCUCUCGAUAAGCAAUGGGGGCGUAAAGCUUUACUGAGUUUAUUGAAACUUCGAAUGUUAUUAAAAUGACUUUAAACAGACAGACUAUGAGUGCUAAGAUUCAUAGUCAAAAGGGAAACAGCCCAGAUUAUUGAUUAAGGCUCUUAAAAAUAAUUAAGUGAAAAAAUUGUGAAAAAAUGUUGACAACCGAAAGGUAGGCUUAGAAGCAGCCAUCCUUUAAAGAAAGCGUAAUAGCUCAUUGGUUUAGUUUUUUUGCAUUGAAAAUGUUUGGAACUAAAAUUAUUUGCCGAAAUUAUAGAUUUUAGAUUUAAAAUGGUAGCAGAACGUUCUGUAUAUCUAAGAAGUUUUAUAGUAAUAUAAGAUGGAGAUAUCAGAAAUGAUAAUGUUGGUAUGAGUAACGAUAAACAAUGUGUAAAACAUUGUCGCCUUAAGUUCAAGGUUUCCAAAACAAGGCUAAUCCGUUUUGGUAUUUAUAGUUAAUCGGUCCCUAAGAAAAAUACGAAAGUUUUUUUUAAUGGGAUAAAAAUAAUUUUUUUGUUAUUAAAAGUGACAAAGUGUAAAUAUUAUUUCUAUUUUAUGGUUUUAAAUAGAGGUUUUAUAGCACUUUCUAGAAAUAGCUUUUAUAAUAAUGAGUAACCGUACCCUAAACCGACACAGGUGAACAAGUUUAGUAAACUAAGGCGCUUGAGAGAAUUAUGUUGAAGGAACUCGGCAAAAUGACUCCGUAACUUCGGGAUAAGGAGUGACUUUAUAUAGGCAACUAUGUAAAGUUGUCACAAAAUCGGGGACAGCGACUGUUUAACAAAAACACAGGUCUCUGCUAAUUCGUAAGAAGAUGUAUUGAGACUGACGCCUGCCCAGUGCUGCAAGAUUAAAGGAAGAGGUCUUUUGGCUUUGACCCUAACUCCCAGUAAACGGCGGCUGUAACUCUGACGGUCCUAAGGUAGCGAAAUUCCUUGGCAUUUAAUUGGUGUCCUGCAUGAAUGGCGUAACGACUGUCCCACUGUCUCCAACAUAAACUCAGUGAAAUUGAAUUGUUCGUGAAGAUGCGAACUUCUUGCGGCUAGACGGAAAGACCCCGUGCACCUUUACUAUAGUUAUACAUUGUAAUAAAUUUUUUUUUGUGUAGAAUAAGUGGGAAGUUGUUAAUUAUAUAGUUACUUGCGCUAGCAAGUAAAGUAAACAUCGUUGAAAUACCACUCUAAAAAUUUUUUAUUACUUAUUUAUUAAGACAUUGUAUAAUGGGUAGUUUGACUGGGGCGGUCGCCUCCUAAAGAGUAACGGAGGCGUGCAAAGGUAAACUUAAGUUGAACUAGAACAACUUUAAAGCAUAAUAGUAUAUGUUUGCCUGAUUGUAAGAUUGACAAAUCAAGCAAGGACGAAAGUCGGUUAUAGUGAUCCGGUGAUUCUGAGUGGAAAAGAUCACCGCUCAACGAAUAAAAGGUACGCCGGGGAUAACAGGCUAAUCACCCUCUAGAGACCCUAUCGACGGGGUGGUUUGGCACCUCGAUGUUGGAUUAUCGCAUCCUGGAGCUGUAGGCGGUUCCAAGGGUUUGGCUGUUCGCCAAUGAAGGCGGUACAUGAUCUGAGUUCAGAACGUUGUGAAACAGUUUGGUCCCUAUCUACCGCAAGUGUUAAAAAUUGAGAGGACCAGACCUCAGUACGAGAGGACCGGGAAUAGUAGAUCUCUGGUGCAUCGAUUGUUAUACCAAUAGCAUAGUCGAGUAGCUACAUCUAUAAUAAAUAAUCACUGAAAGCAUCUAAGUGAGAAAUUAACCUCGAUACAAAUUUUUUUAAAAAUGUAAUAGAUGAUUACAUUGAUAGGCUUGGUGUGUAAGAAUUGUAAGAUUUUUAGCUAACAAGUACUAAAAAUAAAUUUUAUAAACUUUUUA
rnacentral:rRNA from 1 species